CCCUUUAUGUAAAUAGAGAAGCUACGGGUUUUUCUUCGAAGAGAACCGUGUUGUGUGCGAUUGAAAUCGAAUAAUUUUGUAUACACAGGCAUGAAGAAAUCGGAACAACCAAAGGCAUCGAAACGCGAAGAUGGAGUCGAUUUGAUAAGUAAUAUGCCGGAUCCUAUUGAAGACGCAAUUCGAACCAGCAUUUUGUCCAGAAGAUGGAGGUAUUUGUGGACUUCAGGAAACUUCAAAAGAAGUAAAUUUAAAGAGUUUGUGCACUGGGUUUUAGUAAUCAGGUCCGUUGAUUUAGAUAUUCUCCGUUUAUGUUGUUCGAAUUACUACGGUAUGUCUCUUAUAGGGCGGUGGAUUCACAUCGCCGUUAUGAAGAACGUCAAAGAGCUUGACUUGAUCUGUACUCCUAAGGAGGAAGAGGAUGUCGAGAUGCCCCAUUGUCUGGCGACUUGCGGUUCCUUGAAGGUAUUAAGGUUAAAUUUGGAUGGAUGUGGUCUGAUUUUGCCUAAUUUUAUGGGGUUUCCGGCACUUAGGGUUCUUGACUUGACCUGUGUCGACUUAUUGAAAGAUCGAGAUUUGGUAAAAGAUUUUCUCCAAAGCUGCUCAUCGCUUGAGGAGCUGAGUUUGGUAGAAUGCUCGAUAUGGAAACUUGAUCUUCUUUGUAUUUCAUGCCCAAACCUCAAGAAGCUGAGUAUCACUAACCUUGAGAAUGAGAGUUUGUGUGGUGGCGUUAAGAUCUGUUGCCCAAAACUGCUGUUUUUGGAUUUAAAAGGUUGUCUCUACCUAAUCUGAAGACUUUGGUGCUAAGCACAACUAUGGAUGCCUUCACCAUGGAUGACUUCAACCGAAUUCUCAAAUAUUGUCCCAAACUGGAGUCUCUCAGGUUGACCAUUAAACAGGAAUUUGCUUGGACUGAAGAGUGGGAGUUGCAUAAAGGUGACGCAAGGAGAAUCUUUACUAGUGAACUGAAAAGGGUCGAGUUUUUUGAAUUUAAUGGAGAAAAGCCAAAAUUAGUUAUUGAUUGGGAAAAUGCAACAUUGUUGGAAAUGGUUUUUAGUUGGGGUAACAACUAACAAAGCAAAGUACUCUCAUUAGAGAUUAUGAAGGGAAUUAUCAAAGUGGUCAAUUUUUAGAAAGACUGAUAUUACAAGCUUUAUGGUAAAUUUUAAGUAGUAGAUGCCUAUUCAUGUGAUUGGUAACUAGGUUUCUUUGUCUCAUGUGGUUGCUAUUCACUUUUGAAUUUUUGCUUCAUGUUGAUUUUUUUUUAACUAUUACUAGAAAAUGCUUGUUUCAUUCUAUUGUUUUGUUCGUAUUCAUGUAUGUAUGUAUGACCUGAAUCUUUUGAAUGUUGUAUACAGGUAUACAACACAUA